GCCAACUGCUGGGGGAAGAGGCGGGACAUGAUCUCCUGCAGCAGCACUGUGUUGUUGUACUUCCUGUUCUUCAAAUACUGGAAUAGGAAGUAAUGCGUUCAUCCUCAUCCUCAGGCGUGGGGAGGAAGGACACGGCCUGACACAGGCUCAGACAGCACUCGCCGCUGGUGCCGUGCUUCACUUUAGUUGCAUUCUAGGACAGCACAGGAAAGAGCCUGAGCUGUCAACAUCAUUAGUGCUGUGCAUAAACACUUCACCUGCGCGGGAUCAGUUUGACCUUCAGCGUUGUUGUGGGAGUAGCGCUGACCAUCUG